UAACUGCGAGUGAAGCGGCAAAAGCUCAAAUUUGAAAUCUGACGUUUUUGACGUCCGAGUUGUAAUUUGGAGGGAUAUCUUCGGAGCUGACGCCGUCCUAAGUUCUUUGGAACUAGACAUCAUAGAGGGUGAGAAUCCCGUGCCUGGAUGGCUGUUCUGCUCCAUGUGAAGUGUCUCCGACGAGUCGAGUUGUUUGGGAAUGCAGCUCAAAAUGGGUGGUAAAUUUCAUCUAAAGCUAAAUAUUGGCGAGAGACCGAUAGCGCACAAGUAGAGUGAUCGAAAGAUGAAAAGCACUUUGAAAAGAGAGUUAAAUAGUACGUGAAAUUGUUGAAAGGGAAGCGCUUGAGACUAUCAAGGGUCCACGGUCAUCAGCCACAUUUUUUAUGUGGUGCACUCACCGCAGGAUGAGCCAGCAUCGGUUCUGACGGCGGGAUAAAGGUUUCAGGAAUGUGGCUCCCUAAUUAUUGGGAGUGUUAAAGCCUGGAGCGCAAUGCCGCCCGUUGGGACUGAGGCUAGCGCGUUAAGUCGCAUGGAUGCUGGC
rnacentral:rRNA from 1 species